rnacentral:rRNA from 1 species
AGUGAAUAGAUACCCAGGUAGUCCACGCUGUAAACGAUGAGUGCUGGACGUUGGCGGGUUUACCUGCCGGUGUCGCAGCUAACGCGUUAAGCACUCCGCCUGGGGAGUACGGCCGCAAGGUUAAAACUCAAAGGAAUUGACGGGGGCCCGCACAAGCGGUGGAGCAUGUGGUUUAAAUUCGACGCAACGCGCAGAACCUUACCAGCCCUUGACAUGGGCGGACGGGGUCCAGAGAUGGACUCUUUCUCGCAAGAGACCGCUACACAGGUGCUGCAUGGCUGUCGUCAGCUCGUGUCGUGAGA